GAGAGUCCACAGUACAUGUCCACAUGGACUUGGGUAAGUAUUAUUUUGAAAAUUCAAAAUUGUUUAAACAGACAAUGCACUGCAGUUUUCGAAAAAAUAUAUACUAACAAAUUGCCAUUCUGUGAUAUCAGGCUUACAUGCAAAGCUUCCUAGAGCCAUCUUGGCACAGGUUCUUGUAUGAACCCUUACUUGAAAAACUCGGGAAAUGCAAUGUUCUUUUCUUCCCAAUUAUUUCACAAGAAGAGUUCCACUUCACACUUCUCACAUUUCACAAAAAUGAACGAAAGUGGAGACACUACAAUCCACUUAGAUCGUUGGGACGUAGAAAAGAAGAAAGGUUAAUAUUGUUGAAGGGUGGCUAGAAUAUAUAAGACCUCAAGCACGAGUGUUCAUAGAAACAAAAAAAAAACCAACACUUGUGAAGCAAAAAGAAGGGCCCCCAACACUUGUACAAAAAGAUUUGACUCCAAAUGAAGAACUCACUCUCAAAUGGAUUAUGCAAAAUCCAUUGCAGUUUCCAUUUGAGGAUGACAUGGAAUGUGCUCAACAAAGUGCAUCUUCGUAAGAAUUGUGUCUACUCAACUAUUCAUUACAGUUUGAAAUCAUUCAAAAGCAAAAAAAACUAAUCUCGUAUUUCAUUUGCAGAUUGGAUUGCGGCAUGUUCGUCAUGUUCUAUAUGGAUAAAAUAGCACAAGGACAGCCCAUUCCAAAAAGCGUGGACAAGAAAUUCAUGAAUGAAUAUCGAGCACAAUAUGUCACAAAACUCCUACACCACAAAAACUGUGUAAUUAAUCGUCUCUAGUGAUUUGCCUUUCGUUAACUCAAGACAAUAUGUAUCUUAAUUCUUGUGGAUGUUUGUAAAUAUUUCUAGUUAUGGUAUAUGAGAACAUAUUUCCUAUA